CUCGAGGCCAGAUCUUUCCGGUUGAUCCUGCCGGACCUGACUGCUAUCGGAUUGAUACUAAGCCAUGCGAGUCAUUGUAGUAAUACAAGGCAGACGGCUCAGUAACGCGUAGUCAACCUAACCUAUGGACGGGAAUAACCUCGGGAAACUGAGUAUAAUGCCCGAUAGAACAUUAUGCCUGGAAUGGUUUAUGUUCCAAAUGAUUUAUCGCCGUAGGAUGGGACUGCGGCCUAUCAGUUUGUUGGUGAGGUAAUGGCCCACCAAGACUAUUACAGGUACGGGCUCUGAGAGGAGUAGCCCGGAGAUGGGUACUGAGACACGGACCCAGGCCCUAUGGGGCGCAGCAGGCGAGAAAACUUUGCAAUGUGCGAAAGCACGACAAGGUUAAUCCGAGUGGUUUCUGCUAAAGGAACCUUUUGUCGGUCCUAGAAACACCGAUGAAUAAGGGGUGGGCAAGUUCUGGUGUCAGCCGCCGCGGUAAAACCAGCACCUCAAGUGGUCAGGAUGAUUAUUGGGCCUAAAGCAUCCGUAGCCGGCUCUAUAAGUUUUCGGUUAAA
rnacentral:rRNA from 1 species